rnacentral:rRNA from 1 species
GUGGGGAAUCUUGCACAAUGGGCGAAAGCCUGAUGCAGCGACGCCGCGUGCGGGAUGAAGGCCUUCGGGUUGUAAACCGCUUUCAGCAGGGACGAUAGUGACGGUACCUGCAGAAGAAGCCCCGGCCAACUACGUGCCAGCAGCCGCGGUAAUACGUAGGGGGCAAGCGUUGUCCGGAUUUAUUGGGCGUAAAGAGCUCGUAGGCGGUUUGGUAAGUCUGGUGUGAAAUCUCCACGCUCAACGUGGAGGGGCCACCCGAUACUGCCAUGACUGGAGUCCGGUAGAGGAGUGUGGAAUUCCCGGUGUAGCGGUGAAAUGCGCAGAUAUCGGGAGGAACACCCGUAGCGAAGGCGGCACUCUGGGCCGGAACUGACGCUGAGGAGCGAAAGCGUGGGGAGCAAACAGGAUUAGAAACCCUAGUAGUCC